rnacentral:rRNA from 1 species
GAACACCAGUGGCGAAGGCGACUUUCUGGACUGUAACUGACGCUGAGGCACGAAAGCGUGGGUAGCGAACAGGAUUAGAUACCCUGGUAGUCCACGCCGUAAACGAUGGGUACUAGGUGUAGGGGGUAUCGACCCCCCCUGUGCCGGAGUUAACGCAAUAAGUAUCCCGCCUGGGGAGUACGGCCGCAAGGCUGAAACUCAAAGGAAUUGACGGGGGCCCGCACAAGCAGCGGAGCAUGUGGUUUAAUUCGAAGCAACGCGAAGAACCUUACCAGGGCUUGACAUCCCUCUGACCGGUAUAGAGAUAUACCUUUCCUUCGGGACAGGGGUGACAGGUGGUGCAUGGUUGUCGUCAGCUCGUGUCGUGAGAUGUUGGGUUAAGUCCCGCAACGAGCGCAACCCCUAUCUUUAGUUGCCAGCACGUAAUGGUGGGGACUCUAGAGAGACUGCCGGGGAUAACUCGGAGGAAGGUGGGGAUGACGUCAAAUCAUCAUGCCCCUUAUGUCCUGGGCUACACACGUGCUACAAUGGCCUGUAACAAAGGGAAGCGAAGCUGUGAGGUGAAGCAAAACCCAUAAACCAGGUCUCAGUUCGGAUUGUGGGCUGCAACUCGCCCACAUGAAGUCG